GUUGGCUCAACACUCCAUCACUGUCAAGUACUUUAUUCACAAUAAGGUCAUUUUCUUCUUUAAAAAAUCAUUUUUAAUAUACAACACAAUUUUUGACAAGACAACUCCGUUUACAGCUAAAUUUGAGCUCUUGAAUUCCAGCUUCUCUCAUAACCAAAGCAAGCACGUAGAUGAUGUGGGAGAGAAAGAUGGCGUGAAAGGGACAGAUGAACAAGGGUUGAAGUUAGAAGAAAGAAUGAGGAAAAAGACAGCAAGAGAGAGAAAGAGAGAGAGAGAGAGGGGAAGAGAAAGAGGACUACGCUUAGUAUGAUUUUUGUACUAAGAACCAAAAUACUCAAAUAAAAUUAGAAAAUAACAGUAAUAAAAAACAGUAAGAAAGUAAGAGUUAAAGAGAAAAAAAAAAGCAGAGGUGUACCGGGAUGCUGUAUCCAUGGCAACCUCACAUGCAUGUCUGUCUGACACUUCUGCUCUGUUCUGCCGUUUCACAAGUCCACAUACACAAACACACACUCACGCAAACUUGAGUGUGUGCGCCCCCAUAUUACAAGCAAGUGUGCAUCUCUGGGGGGUGUUGGGGGGGGAGGGAGCAAAGGGGGGAGGAGGGGUGGAGAGGGGGAGAGAGACAGGGAGGAGUGAGAGGGAGUGAGAGGGAGCUUGGAAGUCAUCCCCAACACAUUCCUCCCUCAUUCACUCCCUCCGUCUCCCAUCCUUCUCUUCUUUCCUAGAGCUGAGUAAAGAGUCUCUGUCUCCCGCAUCACAGCUCCAGUCAUCCUCUGUCCAACUGUGCCACUGUGUGUUUAUGUGUGUUUGUUUGUGUGUUUGUGUGCGUCUGUGUAAUAUGUAUAUAAAUAUAUAUCUAUAAGCGAUUCCAUAUCUGUGGGAACCUGGUUUGGCAGGGGUUGAAAACUGAGGAGCAGAAGCUGCUUUAAGUUUGAUUCAAGGGGGACAAAGGGGAGCUUGUGACUUAAAUAGGGUCUAAGUUAAUACUGUCAUUAGUGUAGUUUACAAAACAUAAAUUAGUAGUAGAAGGUGAACUUCUUGGGAGAUUGCGUUGGUUCUGUAGUAGGGAGUCCUCAUCAGUGUUGACCUGUGUGUGUAUGUCACUGAACUGGCAGGAAAUGGGCACAAGCUUAAGAGUCUAUCAGAACGGGCAGGGAGGAGGGGGUGACGGGGGGCUGGGUUGGAGAUGGACAGAGAGAUGACGAGGAGGAAGGAGAAGAGAUGGGCUCCUUUCCAUGAUGGAUGCACCCAUCAGCCAAUCAGCAUUGGGUUCCUCCAAGAAAGGGUGCGGUAGAUGGCGCCACCUG
ensembl:lncRNA